rnacentral:lncRNA from 1 species
GUAACACCCCGAACUAACUACCCUUAAAAACGUGAUCUUAAAAACUUUUUAAAGAUAAGUAGCCGGAGCGCUACGGAAAACAUUUUAUAAAACGAUCGUGCACACGACACGAAACGUCGCAGCGGAAAACAUUAAAUAAAGGAUUUUCAAAGCAAUGAACAAAAUAGUUCAAAAGAUAAUUCAUCUACAUAAAACAUAAGUUAAGAUGUU